rnacentral:rRNA from 1 species
AACGAACGCUGGCGGCGUGGAUAAGACAUGCAAGUCGAACGCUGAUUUCAGGGUAGCAAUAUUCUGGAGUCGGAGUGGCGCAAGGGUGCGUAACACGUGGGUAAUUUGCCAUGAAGCCCGGAAUAACUCGCUGAAAGGCGAGCUAAUACCGGAUGUGAUCUUCGGGAGCAUCUCCUGAACCUUAAGCUGGGGACCGUAAGGCCUGGCACUUCUUGAUAAGCCCGCGGCCUAUCAGCUAGUUGGUGAGGUAACGGCUCACCAAGGCUAAGACGGGUAGCUGGUCUGAGAGGACGACCAGUCACACUGGGAACUGAGACACGGUCCAGACACCUACGGGUGGCAGCAGUCGAGAAUUUUUCNCAAUGGGCGAAAGCCUGAAGGAGCGACG